GACGAACGCUGGCGGCGUGCUUAACACAUGCAAGUCGAACGGAAAGGCCCUGCUUUUGUGGGGUGCUCGAGUGGCGAACGGGUGAGUAACACGUAAGUAACCUGCCCUUGACUUUGGGAUAACUUCAGGAAACUGGGGCUAAUACCGGAUAGGAGCUCCUGCUGCAUGGUGGGGGUUGGAAAGUUUCGGCGGUUGGGGAUGGACUCGCGGCUUAUCAGCUUGUUGGUGGGGUAGUGGCUUACCAAGGCUUUGACGGGUAGCCGGCCUGAGAGGGUGACCGGCCACAUUGGGACUGAGAUACGGCCCAGACUCAUACGGGAGGCAGGAGUGGGGAAUAUUGCACAAUGGGCGGAAGCCUGAUGCAGCAACGCCGCGUGCGGGAUGACGGCCUUCGGGUUGUAAACCGCUUUCGCCUGUGACGAAGCGUGAGUGACGGUAAUGGGUAAAGAAGCACCGGCUAACUACGU
rnacentral:rRNA from 1 species